AAAGCGUGCGCAGGCGGUUUUGUAAGUCUGUCGUGAAAUCCCCGGGCUCAACCUGGGAAUUGCGAUGGAGACUGCAAGGCUGGAGUUUGGCAGAGGGGGGUAGAAUUCCACGUGUAGCAGUGAAAUGCGUAGAUAUGUGGAGGAACACCGAUGGCGAAGGCAGCCCCCUGGGUCAAGACUGACGCUCAUGCACGAAAGCGUGGGGAGCAAACAGGAUUAGAUACCCGAGU
rnacentral:rRNA from 1 species